GGCCACAUUGUGUUGAAACACCACUUUACAUAUGAUUACUGAAGUUAAGCAACUUUGAGCCUGGUCAGUACCUAGAUAAGUAACCACUUGGGAAUGCUAGGUGCUGUAAG